AACCCCGCAAGGGGAGCGGCAGACGGGAGAGUAACACGUGGGAACGUACCCUUCAGUUCGGAACAACCCAGGGAAACUUGCCGGCUAAUACCGGAUACGUCCGUAAGGAGAAAGAUUUAUCGCUGAAGGAGCGGCCCGCGUCUGAUUAGCUUGUUGGUGAGGUAACGGAUCUCACCAAGGCUACGAUCAGUAGCUGGUCUGAGAGGAUGAUCAGCCUCACUGGGACUGAGACACGGCCCAGACUCCUACGGGAGGCAGCAGUGGGGAAUAUUGGACAAUGGGCGCAAGCCUGAUCCAGCCAUGCCGCGUGGGUGAUGAAGGCCCUAGGGUUGUAAAGUCCUUUCGGCGGGGAAGAUAAUGACGGUACCCGCAGAAGAAGCCCCGGCUAACUUCGUGCCAGCAGCCGCGGUAAUACGAAGGGGGCUAGCGUUGCUCGGAAUCACUGGGCGUAAAGCGCACGUAGGCGGCUUUUUAAGUCAGGGGUGAAAUCCUGGAGCUCAACUCCAGAACUGCCUCUGAUACUGAGAAGCGAGUCCGGGAGAGGUGAGUGGAACUGCGAGUGUAGAGGUGAAAUUCGUAGAUAUUCGCAAGAACACCAGUGGCGAAGGCGGCUCACUGGCCCGGUACUGACGCUGAGGUGCGAAAGCGUGCCGAGCAAACAGGAUUAGAUACCCUGGUAGUCCANCGCCNGUAAACGAUGGAUGCUAGCCGUUAGACAGCUUGCUGUUUAGUGGCGCAGUUAACGCGUUAAGCAUCCCGCCUGGGGAGUACGGUCGCUUCUUAUAACUCAAAGGAAUUGACGGGGGCCCGCACAAGCGGUGGAGCAUGUGGUUUAAUUCGAAACAACGCGAAGAACCUUAUCAGCUCUUGACAUGUCUCGUAUGGGGAUCGGAGACGGUUUCCUUCAGUUCGGCUGGCGAGAACACAGGUGCUGCAUGGCUGUCG
rnacentral:rRNA from 1 species